UACGGAGGGAGCUAGCGUUAUUCGGAAUUACUGGGCGUAAAGCGCACGUAGGCGGCUUUGUAAGUUAGAGGUGAAAGCCUGGAGCUCAACUCCAGAAUUGCCUUUAAGACUGCAUCGCUUGAAUCCAGGAGAGGUGAGUGGAAUUCCGAGUGUAGAGGUGAAAUUCGUAGAUAUUCGGAAGAACACCAGUGGCGAAGGGCGGCUCACUGGACUGGUAUUGACGCUGAGGUGCGAAAGCGUGGGGAGCAAACAGG
rnacentral:rRNA from 1 species